UACGAAGGGGGCUAGCGUUACUCGGAUUGACUGGGCGUAAAGGGCGCGUAGGCGGCUUGUACAGUCAGACGUGAAAUUCCUGGGCUCAACCUCGAGACGUCGGCGGAAACCAUCUGGCUAGAGUCCGGAAGAGGAGAGUGGAAUUCCUGGUGUAGCGGUGAAAUGCGCAGAUAUCAGGAAGAACACCCGUGGCGAAGGCGGCUCUCUAGUACGGUACUGACGCUGAGACGCGAAAGCGUGGGGAGCGAACAGG
rnacentral:rRNA from 1 species